UACGAUGGAGGCAGCAGUCGUUGAUCGAUAGCUAGGGCGUGAAGGCGCGUAGGCCGGCCGCUAAGUCGAACGUGAAAUCCCCCAGGCCCAACCUGGGAACUGCGUCCGAUACUGGCAGGCUUGAAUUCGGGAGAGGGAUGCAGAAUUCCAGGUGUAGCGGUGAAAUGCGUAGAUAUCUGGAGGAAUACCGGUGGCGAAGGCGGCAUCCUGGACCGAGAUUGACGCUGAUGAGCGAAAGCUAGGGGAGCAACGGG
rnacentral:rRNA from 1 species